rnacentral:rRNA from 1 species
GGGUUGUGAGGUUAAGCGACUAAGCGUACACGGUGGAUGCCCUGGCAGUCAGAGGCGAUGAAGGGCGUACUAAUCUGCGAUAAGCGCCGGUAAGGUGAUAUGAACCGUUAUAACCGGCGAUACCCGAAUGGGGAAACCCAGUGUGAUUCGUCACACUAUCAUUAACUGAAUCCAUAGGUUAAUGAGGCGAACCGGGGGAACUGAAACAUCUAAGUACCCCGAGGAAAAGAAAUCAACCGAGAUUCCCCCAGUAGCGGCGAGCGAACGGGGAGGAGCCCAGAGCCUGAAUCAGCAUGUGUGUUAGUGGAAGCGUCUGGAAAGGCGCGCGAUACAGGGUGACAGCCCCGUACACAAAAGCGCAUGUGCUGUGAGCUCGAUGAGUAGGGCGGGACACGUGGUAUCCUGUCUGAAUAUGGGGGGACCAUCCUCCAAGGCUAAAUACUCCUGACUGACCGAUAGUGAACCAGUACCGUGAGGGAAAGGCGAAAAGAACCCCGGCGAGGGGAGUGAAAAAGAACCUGAAACCGUGUACGUACAAGCAGUGGGAGCCCCACCACCAAAGCAUUUGCUGUACCGCGUUGACGGAGCGAAGCGACGUCAAACC